UACGGAGGAUGCGAGUGUUAUCCGGAAUCACUGGGCGUAAAGCGCACGUAGGCGGAUCUUUAAGUCAGGGGUGAAAUCCUGGAGCUCAACUCCAGAACUGCUUUUGAUACUGGGGAUCUCGAGUCCGGGAGAGGUGGAGUGGAACUGGCGAGUGUAGAGGUGAAAAUUCGUAAAUAUUCGCAAGAACACCAGUGGCGAAGGCGGCUCACUGGCCCGGUACUGGACGCUGAGACGCGAAAGCGUGGGGAGCGAACGAG
rnacentral:rRNA from 1 species